GACGAACGCUGGCGGCGUGCUUAACACAUGCAAGUCGAACGGAAAGGCCCUGCUUUUGUGGGGUGCUCGAGUGGCGAACGGGUGAGUAACACGUGAGUAACCUGCCCUUGACUUUGGGAUAACUUCAGGAAACUGGGGCUAAUACCGGAUAGGAGCUCCUGCUGCAUGGUGGGGGUUGGAAAGUUUCGGCGGUUGGGGAUGGACUCGCGGCUUAUCAGCUUGUUGGUGGGGUAGUGGCUUACCAAGGCUUUGACGGGUAGCCGGCCUGAGAGGGGGACCGGCCACAUUGGGACUGAGAUACGGCCCAGACUCCUACGGGAGGCAGCAGUGGGGAAUAUUGCACAAUGGGCGGAAGCCUGAUGCAGCAACGCCGCGUGCGGGAUGACGGCCUUCGGGUUGUAAACCGCCUUCGCCUGUGACGAAGCGUGAGUGACGGUAAUGGGUAAAGAAGCACCGGCUAACUACGUG
rnacentral:rRNA from 1 species